UAUACUUAAUAGAAGUAUAAUAUUAACUUUAAGUGUUUGUUUAAUCUAUUGUUUUGACGCAAUAUGCAUUCUACGAAACUUUUUUCAACGAUCCAACCAUCAAAGUUAUUGUACACAUUCCGAGAUCGCAUACAUAAAAAAUCGUAAAAAACAAACAUUCAGAGAUUACGUAACGGAACAAAAGUUUUCGACGGUUAUAAACGAAAAAUCACAAUUUAACGGUUAUUUAAGCUCCGAUUUUGAUGAUUUUUUACAGAUACACUCCUCGACCCUAUAAGAAUGUAAUGAAUAAAUUUGAUCUUUAAUUUAAAGUAUUUACACUAGUAGAUAACACAAAAACUUAUUUUAUACUUAAUAGAAGUAUAAUAUUAACUCUAAGUGUUUGUUUAAUCUACUAUUUUAACGCAAUAUGCAUUCUACGAAACUUUUUUCAACGAUCCAACCAUCAAACUUAUUUGUACACAUUCUGAGAUCGCAUACAUAAAAAAUCGUAAAAAACAAACAUUCAGAGAUUACGUAACGGAACAAAAGUUUUCGACGGUUAUAAACGAAAAAUCACAAUUUAACGGUUAUUUUAGCUCUGAUUUUGAUGCUUUUUUACAGAUACACUCCUCGACCCUAUACGAAUGUAAUGAAUAAAUCUGAUCUUUAAUUUAAAGUAUUUACACUAAUGGAUACCACAAAAUCUUUUUUUAUACUUAAUAGAAGUAUAAUAUUAACUUUAAGUGUUUGUUUAAUCUACUAUUUUGACGCAAUAUGCAUUCUACAAAACUUUUUUAACGAUCCAACCGUCCAACUUAUUUGUACACAUUCCAAGAUUUCAUACGUAAAAAAUCGUAAAAAACAAACAUUCAGAGAUUACAUAACGGAACAAAAGUUAUCAACGGUUAUAAACAAAAAAUCACAAUUUAACGGUUAUUUUAGGUUCGAUUUUGAUGAUUUUUUACAGAUACAAUCCUCGACCCUAUAUGAAUGUAAUGAAUAAAUUUGAUCUUUAAUUUAAAGUAUUUACACUAGUGGAUACCACAAAAACUUAUUUUAUACUUAAUAGAAGUAUAAUAUUAACUCUUAAGUGUUUGUUUAAUCUAUCGUUUUGACGCAAAAUGCAUUCUACAAAACGUUUUUCAACAAUCCAACCGUCAAAAUUAUUUGUACACAUUCUGAGAUUGCAUACGUAAAAAAUCAUAAAAAAUAAAGAUUCAGAGAUUACGUAACGGAACAAAAGUUUUCGACGGUUAUAAAUGAAAAAUCAUAAUUUAACGGUUAUUUUAGCUCCGAUUUUGAUGAUUUUUUACAGAUACACUUCUCGACCCUAUAAGAAUGUAAUGAAUAAAUUUGAUCUUUGAUUUAGAGUAUUUACACUAGUGGAUACC
rnacentral:lncRNA from 1 species